ACGCCGACACCUACGGGAGCAGCAGUGAGGAAUAUUGGUCAAUGGGCGCAGGCCUGAACCAGCCAAGUAGCGUGAAGGAUGACUGCCCUAUGGGUUGUAAACUUCUUUUAUAUGGGAAUAAAGUUUUCCACGUGUGGAAUUUUGUAUGUACCAUAUGAAUAAGGAUCGGCUAACUCCGUGCCUGCAGCCGCGGUAAUCUGAGCGGGCUGGCAAGGC
rnacentral:rRNA from 1 species